GACGUAGGGCGCGAGCGUUGUCCGGAUUUAUUGGGCGUAAAGAGCUCGUAGGCGGCUUGUCGCGUCGUCCGUGAAAACCCGAGGCUCAACCUCGGGCCUGCAGUGGGUACGGGCAGACUAGAGUGCGGUAGGGGAGAUUGGAAUUCCUGGUGUAGCGGUGGAAUACGCAGAUAUCAGGAGGAACACCGAUGGCGAAGGCAGAUCUCUGGGCCGUAACUGACGCUGAGGAGCGAAAGCAUGGGGAGCGAACAGG
rnacentral:rRNA from 1 species